GACAGCAGCUGUACCACCUGCAGUUCAGGCUAUGUGAUCCAUCUGAAGCUAAGCACGUUUGGGCCUGGCCAGUACUUGGAACGGAGACCAACUGGGAAAGCUGGGUUGCUGCUGAAA
rnacentral:rRNA from 1 species